GACGAACGCUGGCGGCGUGCCUAAUACACGCAAGUCGAACGCACUCUCGUUUAGAUUGAAGGAGCUUGCUCCUGAUUGAUAAACAUUUGAGUGAGUGGCGGACGGGUGAGUAACACGUGGGUAACCUGCCCUAAAGUGGGGGAUAACAUUUGGAAACAGAUGCUAAUACCGCAUAAAACCUAACACCGCAUGGUGUAGGGUUGAAAGAUGGUUUCGGCUAUCACUUUAGGAUGGACCCGCGGUGCAUUAGUUAGUUGGUGAGGUAAAGGCUCACCAAGACCGUGAUGCAUAGCCGACCUGAGAGGGUAAUCGGCCACACUGGGACUGAGACACGGCCCAGACUCCUACGGGAGGCAGCAGUAGGGAAUCUUCCACAAUGGACGAAAGUCUGAUGGAGCAACGCCGCGUGAGUGAAGAAGGUUUCGGAUCGUAAACUCUGUUGUUGGAGAAGAUGUAUCUGAUAGUAGCUGAUCAGGUAGUGACGGUAUCCAACCAGAAAGCCACGG
rnacentral:rRNA from 1 species